rnacentral:siRNA from 1 species
CAAUCAAGUUUGAAGGAUAAUGA